rnacentral:lncRNA from 13 species
UGAUGAAACAAUGUUUCAUGGGCCAUGAAUCAUGGACAAUCCUAUUCUUGUUUUCUGUAGCCUAGUUGUAAAUGUUCAUCAUGCACUGGAUUAAUUGUUGGAAUACCGUACUGUUAGCCUAUUGUAUUGCACAACGAAUUUUCUGUCCACUUUCUAACAUCUAUAUGUCUAACACAUCUAUAUGUCUAACACAUAUUACACUAUGUUAAAAUAUGUAUAACAAAUCUUCCCUAGAUUAUGAAGUAGGCUGUUUUUUGAAGGAUAGAAGUGAGAUGUAAUUAGAACCUGAUAUACAGUUAAACUCUGACCCAGUGGGUGUGUCUCUACAGCUGUCUUGUGUCUGUCCUCAGAAAAUGCACCUCUCUAUCCUACUGAGUGCCCUUCUCAGCAUCCCUGUCUCUUUGGGCUGGAAUGAAGACUUCCAGAUAGUGUGUUCUGGACAAGAGUUCCGCCUGCCGGUCUACUCAGGGUCAAGGAUUGUGACCUUUACCCCCAGCUACCCUCCAGGACCAAGAAGAGUGCUCCUGGAGAAUAACAAUUUAAAGGACCCGCGGUUUGAGUGGACCAAAGAUAGGACAUUGCUGUUGAAGGACGUCACACACGGUGACCAGGGACUCUACUCUAUCAAGCUGUCCUCUGGAUUCACAGAUGAGACCGUUCGCCUCACUGUCUCAGAAUGUAUAAAAACUUUCAGACGGGGCUAUGGGGAGACUUUUCAGCACAACAUCCCUAAAGAUGGCUCCCUGCUGGAGUUUUCACCCCGGGGCUCCCCCCCUGAUUCCCAGCCGGUGGUACUGUGGAACCGGACAGACCUCGAGACCAGUGAGGCGGGCCGGGGGAGGCUGGGGUCGGACGGGAGGGUCUGGGUGGCAGAGAGGGUGACCCAGGCAGACCAGGGAAACUACACCCUCAGAGACGAGAAUGGGAAAGUAAUCUCCCGCAGCAAACUCACUGUCAAUGAUAAGACUGCUAGAUGGAGAGCGGUCCUCAAGUCCAUCAGCGUCCCUUCUGGCAUGUUUGUGACUUUGGCUGGUUUCAUCCUGUUUAUGAAGCGCUACCCUAACUGCAGCCUCACUAUGAUCAUCAAUGGCCUAAGAGGUCACCACACACCCGCAGCUAACCCGCCAAGAGGCAAUGUCCAGGACUACAGUCCGCCCAGCCCCCAGCCCUAUGGUUUUUACGGUCAUUCACAGCAGAUUGGAACGCCAAAAAUAUGGAGCCCCAGACCUACACAUUCUGGUUACACUCCUGUUGUGGACAGCGCACCACUUGUAGUGGACAGUGCACCACAGCCCUCCCCUGAGCCAGUGAGGACUGGGAGACAACAGGAGACAGACAGACUUAGUGUUGAGACUGCCACU